rnacentral:misc_RNA from 1 species
UUAGGGUUUCCGGCCAUGGCUCUGCGCGCGUUCUUCAACGAGAUCAAGGCUCUGCGCGUCCGCGACCUGCCGAAGCACCUGAAGCCGAAGCUCACGUGGGAUCACAUCAAGAAGACGGCCGACAGCGCCGUCGAUCGCUACAUCGAGAAAUACAUCGAGACCAGCUCCGUCGAGCCCCUCUUCCACGUCUGCAUCGGCGGCAUGAUCUUCUCGUACCUGGUGGCGCUCCCCGAGGAGCGCCGCCAUCUGGAGCAUCAGCAGCAACUUGCCGCCGGCGGCGGGGGCGGCCACCACUGAAGCUGAUCUGUCAGAUCUCAGGAUGGAGUGGCUGGAGUUGACGACUGGCUGUCCGUAAAAAUAUGAUUUGUGGCUGUUUUGUUAGAUUUUGCUCCUGAAAUAAGUUCAGCUUGCUUUUGACUGAUAAUUUUCUGUAAUUUCUAUCUGCAGAGUCAUG